rnacentral:rRNA from 1 species
UGGGGAAUAUUGGGCAAUGGGCGCAAGCCUGACCCAGCAACGCCGCGUGAAGGAAGAAGGCUUUCGGGUUGUAAACUUCUUUUGUCAGGGAAGAGAAGAAGACGGUACCUGGCGAAUAAGCCACGGCUAACUACGUGCCAGCAGCCGCGGUAACACGUAAGGUGCGAGCGUUGUUCGGAAUUAUUGGGCGUAAAGGGCAUGUAGGCGGACCUGCAAGCUUGGAGUGAAAUCCACGGGCUCAACCCGUGAACUGCUCCGGGAACUGCAGGACUCGAAUCGCUGAGGGGGAGCCGGAAUUCCAGGUGUAGGGGUGAAAUCUGUAGAUAUCUGGAAGAACACCAAUGGCGAAGGCAGGCUUCUAGCAGACGAUUGACGCUGAGGUGCGAAGGUGCGGGGGA